CUAAUAAGGAGGACCUUGUAUGUUUUUGGGUACAAGUUUCGUCUUCCUAAUUUUGGAUUCUCAAUCUAAGCUUCACCGCGUCACUGUUUCCGGUCACCGGAGCUCCGUCUCUUCACUUCAAUCCGACCAGGAUUCAGAUGCCCAGAAAAUUGAGGAAGAUGACUUGAUUCUUAAAGUGGGAGAGUGCUUAGAGGCAAGAAAGAUGAACGCUUGAAAGAUAGGUCCACUCGGCCCACUGGUUCCUCACAGUUCUUACCCACUGGAUUGACAUCAGAGAAUUUGACGAAAAGAAGCAGUGGCAUUGCGAAUGCUUCGUGCAGUGAUGAUGAAGACACGACUCAGAUGUCUGGUUUAGCGCCUGCCACUAGAGGACGGAGAGGUUCAUCGACUGCUAAUACAUCUCGCGGUAGAGCUAAAGCCCCAACCAGAGGAAGAGGCCGUGGUAAGGCCCCAAGUGCGAUGAAGCAGACCACUCUUGAUGGUUCUCUUGGUUUUCGCCAGUCUCAAAGGAGGACGAUGAGAACACUAAAGGCAAAGGACGUAAAAGACCAGCUACUACUAAGAGAGGCAGGGGUAGAGGUUCUGGGACUUCAAAACGUGGUCGAAAAAACGAAAGCUCUUCUUCACUUCAUAGGCUACUCAGCAAAAACGAUGACGAGGACGAAGAUGAUGAAGACAUAGAGAAGAAGCUUAACAGAUCUCAGCCUCGGGUUAGAACUUACAAGGAACUAUGGAGCUCUAAGAAGAUAAAUCCAUAUCAAACCUGAGCUCUGACAUCACAACGAAGCUUCAUUUAUCUGCUCUUUUCUAACGACCUCCCAAGCGAAAUAACUUCUGAAGAAGAAAAACUAACACGAAAAAGAGUGUUGUGAGCUGUACAGAGAAUUUUGUUUCUUGCUCUGUUAAGGUUUUGUUGUUUAUGAACGAGGCAAUAUAGUUAAUUAAAUUUUCAGGGUGAAAUCAAACCCCAAAAACGCAACAAUUGAGCACUUUCUUCCACGGUUCCUCGACUUCAUUGUGUGGGGACAUGAGCAUGAAUGCCUUAUCGACCCCCAGGAGGUAUCUGGAAUGGGCUUUCACAUCACACAACCAGGAUCAUCUGUGGCAACGUCGCUUAUUGAUGGGGAAUCUCAAAAAGCCAAAGCAUGUUCUUCUGUUAGAAAUCAAGGGAAAUCAAUAUCGUCCUACGAAGAUACCUCUAACAUCUGUGAGGCCUUUUGAAUAUGCAGAGAGUGCAGAUUGCUUAAAAAGGAUGAAGGGGAUAUUGAUCUCAAUGAUCAAAACUCAAUCCUCGAACACUUGGAUAAAGUGGUCAGAAGUCUAAUAGAGAAAGCCAGCAAAAAAAGCUGUUAACAGAUCAGAAGAUCAAACUCCCAUUGGUUCGAAUCAAGGUAGAUUACUCUGGAAUCCUCAAAGGUUUGGACAGAAAUAUGUGGGAAAGGUACCUAAAAAUUAGUUACUGUGACAUGAUGAUGACCAUGUUAAUAUUUUCUCAGGACAGAAAUAUGUGGGCAAAUCCUCAGGACAUUUUAAUAUUUUCCAAGGCUUCUAAGAAGGGUCGGAGCGAAGCCAACAUCGAUGAUUCUGAGAGGCUUCGUCCAGAAGAACUGAACCAGCAAAAUAUAGAAGCUUUGGUAGCUGAAAGCAACCUGGUACAUCCUGCAACCUUCUUUCCUUAUAAUUAUCGUCUACCCCUGUAGAACUUCGCCACAGAAGGGUAUAGACUUUGGAGAUCUUUUGUGAACAAGGAUGAUAAAAUUGCAUUCUACUCGUGUAUGUAAUUUUCUUUUUAAUAUUUACCAUUCAAUUCUAAUUUCUGUAUAGGAUGUUAUGUAUA